UCUCACGGUACCGAAAGAAUAAGCACCGGCUAACUUCGUGCCAGCAGCCCCGGUAAUACGAAGGGUGCAAGCGUUACUCGGAAUUACUGGGCGUAAAGCGUGCGUAGGUGGUUCGUUAAGUCCGAUGUGAAAGCCCUGGGCUCAACCUGGGAAUGGCAUUGGAUACUGGCGGGCUAGAGUGCGGUAGAGGAUAGUGGAAUUCCUGGUGUAGCAGUGAAAUGCGUAGAGAUCAGGAGGAACAUCCGUGGCGAAGGCGACUGUCUGGACCAGCACUGACACUGAGGCACGAAAGCGUGGGGAGCAAACAGGAUU
rnacentral:rRNA from 1 species